ACGAACGCUGGCGGCGUGCUUAACACAUGCAAGUCGAACGGAAAGGCCCUGCUUUUGUGGGGUGCUCGAGUGGCGAACGGGUGAGUAACACGUGAGUAACCUGCCCUUGACUUUGGGAUAACUUCAGGAAACUGGGGCUAAUACCGGAUAGGAGCUCCUGCUGCAUGGUGGGGGUUGGAAAGUUUCGGCGGUUGGGGAUGGACUCGCGGCUUAUCAGCUUGUUGGUGGGGUAGUGGCUUACCAAGGCUUUGACGGGUAGCCGGCCUGAGAGGGUGACCGGCCACGUUGGGACUGAGAUACGGCCCAGACUCCUACGGGAGGCAGCAGUGGGGAAUAUUGCACAAUGGGCGGAAGCCUGAUGCAGCAACGCCGCGUGCGGGAUGACGGCCUUCGGGUUGUAAACCGCUUUCGCCUGUGACGAAGCGUGAGUGACGGUAAUGGGUAAAGAAGCACCGGCUAACUACGUG
rnacentral:rRNA from 1 species